rnacentral:rRNA from 1 species
AGAGUUUGAUCCUGGCUCAGAGCGAACGCUGGCGGCAUGCUUAACACAUGCAAGUCGCACGGGAGGGGUAACCCUUCAGUGGCGGACGGGUGAGUAACGCGUAGGUAUCUGUCUUGGGGUGGGGGAUAACUGUGGGAAACUACAGCUAAUACCGCAUGACGCCUGAGGGCCAAAGCUCGUGAGAGCGCCUGGGGAGGAGC